UGCACGGGUAAUCUCGUUAUGGGCAUCAGUUAGGGUACCCCUUACAUCAGCAGGAAAAAACAGACACAUGCCCCAACAAAAAAUCUGUCAGUUUUUAUUAUACAAGGCAUAUCCAACAAAAAGAUCCACAACCCGUUAACAAAAAAUGCAGUGCUGCUUUUGCUGCUGCUGGGCACUGCACUGCUUCUGCUUUUGCUGCUACGGCUGGGCACUGCACUGCUUUCUCCUGUUGCUGCUCCCGCUAUGCUCGGUAGCAAAUUGCAGUGGAUGCAAAACCUUGUAGUUCUUUGGCUUGGUGAAGAACUGCAUAGUUGAUCCAAAUUACCUGGAUCUCUGUUACCACAGAGAACAAACAUAUAAAUUACCUAAAAAUACGAUUCUAGCAACUAUGACAAAGAACAAGCAUAUAAAUUACCUAAAAAAUCAAGCAUCCCGCCAUCCACCAUGGAUAUAGGGAUGUAGGACUGCACUGCAGCCAGCAGAGAAACAAAACAUAAAUAUAAUUAUCAUUCAGAACAAAGAAUGCGACAUUUCCAAAUAUAAUGCCAUCCAUUUACAAGACUAUGCGAUGAGCUUAUAAACCAUCACAUUAUUGUAAAUUCUCAACCAAAUAAAAUACAAGCUAAUCACCAUUUUAUCUCUAAUAAGCAAACAGAUUGACAAAUUAUAUACAGAACCAGAAGCAUAAACUGUCAUGAUCACAGAGAUAAAAUCAUUGUUAUAGACUGUCCUUACCAGAAUUUCAAGAUAGUUAUUUUAAAUUGUCAUGGCCACACUUGCACAUGCUUUAGCCUUAAUUCGAAAAGCGGAAUUUCAAAUUAUUAUGCUUCACAUAUCAAAACAUAAGGAAAAUCUGCGGUUCCAAAUGUACCUCAUCGUAUUUUCUUCUGGUCAAUAAGAAAAAUCAGUACAACCUAUUAGCAAAAAUAUUUCAAUCUCACGGAGACCAUGUUUGAUUGAAAUCUGAGUCGCCGGAGCCGCAGCAGACAUCCAUCUCAAAGCAUAAAGAGUCAGCGUCAACUUGUGGUGCACAUGUAGCUAACAGAAGAAAAAAAGAGUCAGCAACUCAGCAUAAAAGGUCCCAUGCAUCCAUAUUAAAAUCUAUAAUCUGGAAAACACCCAAAAAAGAAGUUUUGGUACUGUAAAAGACUAGAACUACUGAUGGUUGAAGUUAAGUUCAGGCUAGAUCUAAAUUGAGUCCAAGCUAAAGCUUGCACAAAAUCGCAGACCCCCAUCCUGAGAUGCCCUAACUCAAAUUUAAUCAAAUUGGCACUUGGGAGUGACAAUCAAAGAUCUCUAAUAACAGUAAACAACGUCCUACCAAAACCACACACACCAAAAACAUACUAAUAUAGAAUCAACUCAACUAAAAAGAAAUACAUACAUAGAGGGAGACACACACAGAGAGAAAGACAAACACAUACACAGAGGGAGACACACACACACACAAAGAGAAAGACAAAGACAAACAAAAUUAGCUGUCAAAGACAUUGCACACACAACCACAAACACAAACACACACCCACAAAAAACACUGCCAAAAAAAUGCAGAGCUACUCAGCUACAAAAACAAAAACAAGAAAAAUACCACACACACAACAAGCAGAGACACAACCACAAAAAAAGAUAGACGAACACAAAAAAGUAAAAUAAAACUACUAAAACAAAGUCAAAAAUAUAAAAAAAAUCCAAAUAGCAACUAAAAAACACAAUCAAGAAAAAACACACAUACACCCACAAACAAAGACAGAAAAAAAUCAGUUGCCAAAUACACUGCACGGGCACACCCACAAACACAAAACACACACACAAAAAAACACACACAACAACAAGCAGAGACACAAAACCACAAAAACACACGAACAGAAAAAAGUCAAAAAAAUCUACUAAAACAAAGUCAAAUAUAUAAAAAUCCAAAUAGCAAAUAAAAAACAGAAUCAAGAAAAAACACAGCCACAAACACAGACACACACCUAAAAAAACAAACACACACAGAAAAACAAAACACACAAAGAACUAUAAAGGCAAAGGAAAAAAAGAAAGAAAAACAAAAAACACACACACCAAAAAAAAUGCAAAAAAAAAACAGUAGUAGAAAAAAAGAAAUGCCUGCUAUAACCUAAAAAUAAAGAAAAGGAAUAAAAGAAAAAGAAAUAUAAAUAAAAAGUAAAAAUAAAAAAGGGUCCACAAGAAAAAAUCCCAUAAAAAUAAAAACACAUCACCAGAAAAAAGAAAGACUUGCCUGCCAAACAACAAAUCAUCAAGACCAUCAAAUAGGAGACUCACCAUUAACCCUAUAGAAAAGAAAACAUAAUAUAUAAGAACCUAAAAAAUAUUACAUUAUAAUACAUAGGAAAAAAUGAAAAAAAAACACAUCCAGGGAGCAAUAUCAAAGAGCCACAACACAUAAAAUGCAGCUCCCUCACCCCGAGGUCCUACUACCCAGUCUCAAACAACAACCUCAUUUACGAACACAACAUUUAUGAAAAACUCGGUGCUCAUCGACACAAAGCCAAGAAUGUCACUGAUACGUGUUAAAUUGCAACUCAAACUAGAGAUAAAGGAAUAGAACAACACUGAAUGUAACAUUGCGACAACAAUACUCAUGCACAACUAAGCAUAUCAGCAUUCCUUCACAACACGCAAAAACUAAAUGUUCACUCACAACAUAUGAUUGUAAGCAGAUAUGAAUUGCAUAACGACAAGCAGGAGUGUCAACAUGACUGGUAUACUUGUAAACUCGACAUCUCCCAUAGAAUACAUAAAAGGAAUGGAGACAAAUGUGCGCAGAGUUUGGCAGGAAUCAACCAAACAUGGUCCCCUAGGUAUUUCAGAAAAAAUAGACUUGUUCCUUGCACUCAAGAAUAUAUGGAAUUCUGAGGAAAAAAUUAAGCGAUUCAGAAAGCAAAGGCACAUAGUAUUAUAGCAGUAUCUGCAGCAGAGCAUGGUCUAGCUACUUAUUAUUGUUCUUUCCUGGUGGCAGUACACAAAAGAAACCUCAAAAUAGAGCUCUUCAAGGUCACACUUCAUAGUAAGGAACUCUUGCUGUGAUCAAACAGUCUAUAAACAUCUUUAGACAAAAACCAGCAACAUGAUAUUAUAGAUCCUAAUCCAACAAGAAAUGUCAUGACACAAACCACAUGAACAAAAGCAGAGAUGCCGCAAUGUAGCAGAUAGAAGCACAUGGCAAGUGAAAUGAAACAAAGAAAGAUGAACCACAUCAUUAGAGAAGAACAAUGCUAAAGGCUCACUGCAUGACAAGGGAAAACAGAACAAAACAUACAACUUUCCUGAUUCCGCACAGAACAAAUAGCCAAGCAGCAGCAAGAUAAAUAAACUACCAGAAAGUGGCAUCUAAAUCUACCAAAGCAGCAGCUACAUCCAGUAGCUAAAACUAAAGUCUAAAGAAGGCAAAGGAUGACAAUGUUCAGAGCAUACAUGAAUCUGAGAAAAAAAUAGAUCUCGUAGUAACAUUUACUAGAUGACACGAACUACAGAUUGCAUAGUUUCAACUCUACAUGAACUGGAGAUUACCAAAUCCACAAGAAACAUUGGCACAUUUGCCAAAAAACUAGAGAAAUGUACCCUACUUCUACACUUUAUAACAGGAUGACAACAUGAUUAAUAGCAUGACUGGUAAUCACAUAUGUCCUGAAGAAUUGCCAAACUAAGAUAAUUUAGAACAUAUAUGUACCAAGCAAUUGCCAAACCAAAAACCAAAGCUGCAGAAUAAGAUCUACAGAAUGACAACUAAUGCAUACCUAAAUCGCAACACCAAGGAUAAACACAACAUGAGCAAACAACAAAUAGGGGGAGCGACAACAACAGCUGCAAUACCUCCUCAGACGAGCAACAGCUCCUUCAAUCUGCGGUAGCCGGAACAGGAGAAGUGGCGACGACUGCCACGCCCCAACGCACUGAGGAACCGAGGACAGGGAAAAACACUAACACGACGCACACCGGCGCGGCGCAAGAUGUCCUGCACACGAGGCAUGGCGAGGAGCGGGGAGGCGUGCAGGGCUGUCCCCGGCUGGAUCCACCCACAGCUUCAGCGGGGAGGCACGGCGAGGAGCGGCGCAGGCCAAGCGGCAGUGGUUGCCGACUGCCUGAGCUAUGCGCUAGCGAACACGGGGAGUCACGGAGAGGAUUGGGGGAGACGAAGAGAAACGAUAGCAGGUUUGUGGAUUUCACAGGCUCUAUUUCGCGGACCCGUCAUAGCGUGGCGAACCCGUCAGCACAACCAUACAGCUGCACGAAUCUUAAAACAAAUCAACGACCCAAAAUUUGACAGAUAAAGGCCACCAAAAUCUGUUGACAGAUAAAUAGCAUAAAUCUA
rnacentral:lncRNA from 1 species